rnacentral:tRNA from 1 species
GGACCGGUAGUCUAGCUGGUAGGACAUCCGCCUCACGCGCGGAAGAUCGCAGGUUCAAAUCCUGCCCGGUCCA